UUACAAAAAAGAAUUAAUACUUAAAAUAACCUUAUCAUUUUCCCGCUUGAAAAAUAGAUCGAGAGAAGAAGAAGAAAUGGUAGCAAUUUUUAUUUUGGAUUCUUCAUAUUCCAAUCUCAAUCGAUUAAAAUAGAUUUUGGAGAGAAAGUUAGUCGUGUAAACGUGAAUCGAUCUCUAUUUUUUGACGGAGAUCAGAUUGAACUUGAUCGAUUUGUGUGUAAUCGAAACAAAAUUCAUUAGGGAGAAAAUUACAGCCAUUUUUGCGUCGUAAUUGAUCGAGAGUCAGAUACGAUCUUCUCGAUUCAAUAUCCGAAGAUUUUUAAGUUUCCAAUUCAACAAUUGAAGAUUAAGUGAGAUCCAUCUUUUAGAAAAUAUGCAUCCAUGGAUCUUUGUUAAACACUGAUCGUUUAUUCACCAAACAGAAAAUUUGUGCAGUUGAGAGAUCAGUUAAGAAGAGAAGGAAAGGAAGUGCAUGAAAAUUUAAAGACUCAAUGCAAAGAGGAAAUGAAUAUGUUGGAUUUCUCAAGCUGUUACUUGACGAAUGAAACAGUUCUUGUCCAGGUGGCUGAUUCUUUUCUUUGAAAAUCGUGGAACCUUUUAAUUGUGUUGUUAAUACCAUUUACUUAAAAUGAAUCUUUUAAAUGGGGUGAGGUACUGUAGAUAUUUUCUGCACAUACCAAAUCUUGUGGAUAUUUUCUGCACAUAGUGAAUUAUGGAUAUAUUUUGUAUAGACUAAAACAAGUUUUGUUCCCGCUCGUUCUUAGUA